rnacentral:rRNA from 1 species
GAUGAACGCUGGCGGCGUGCCUAAUACAUGCAAGUCGAGCGAACAGACGAGGAGCUUGCUCCUCUGACGUUAGCGGCGGACGGGUGAGUAACACGUGGAUAACCUACCUAUAAGACUGGGAUAACUUCGGGAAACCGGAGCUAAUACCGGAUAAUAUAUUGAACCGCAUGGUUCAAUAGUGAAAGACGGUUUUGCUGUCACUUAUAGAUGUAUCCGCGCCGCAUUAGCUAGUUGGUAAGGUAACGGCUUACCAAGGCAACGAUGGGUAGCCGACCCGAGAGGGUGAUCGGCCACACUGGAACUGAGACACGGUCCAGACUCCGACGGGAGGCAGCGGUAGGGAAUCUUCCGAAAUGGGGGAAAGCUUGACGGAGCAACGCCGCGUGAGUGAUGAAGGUCUUCGGAUCGUAAAACUCUGUUAUUAGGGAAGAACAAAUGUGUAAGUAACUAUGCACGUCUUGACGGUACCUAAUCAGAAAGCCACGGCUAACUACGUG